UACGGGGGGGGCAAGCGUUGUUCGGAAUUACUGGGCGUAAAGGGCUCGUAGGCGGCCAACUAAGUCAGACGUGAAAUCCCUCGGCUUAACCGGGGAACUGCGUCUGAUACUGGAUGGCUAGAGAUUGGGAGAGGGAUGCGGAAUUCCAGGUGUAGCGGUGAAAUGCGUAGAUAUCUGGAGGAACACCGGUGGCGAAGGCGGCAUCCUGGACCAACACUGACGCUGAGGAGCGAAAGCCGGGGGAGCAAACGGG
rnacentral:rRNA from 1 species